UAAGGAAUAUUGCACAAUGGGCGAAAGCCUGAUGCAGCAACGCCGCGUGCACGAUGAAGGCCUUCGGGUCGUAAAGUGCUUUUAAGGGAGAUGAGGAAGGACAGUAUCCCUGGAAUAAGGUACGGCUAACUACGUGCCAGCAGCCGCGGUAAAACGUAGGUACCGAGCGUUAUCCGGAUUCACUGGGCGUAAAGCGUGUGCAGGUGGUUUGGUAAGUCGGGCAUGAAAACUCUUGGCUCAACUGAGAGACGCUGUUCGAUACUGUCAAACUUGAGGGUGUGAGAGGGAGGUGGAAUUCCGCAUGUAGUGGUGAAAUGCGUAGAUAUGCGGAGGAACACCAGUGGCGAAGGCGGCCUCCUGGCACACUCCUGACACUCAUACACGAAAGCUAGGGGAGCGAACGGGAUUAGAUACCCCCGUAGUCC
rnacentral:rRNA from 1 species